rnacentral:rRNA from 1 species
AGAGUUUGAUCCUGGCUCAGAUUGAACGCUGGCUGCAGGCCUAACACAUGCAAGUCGAGCGGUAGAGAGAAGCUUGCUUCUCUUGAGAGCGGCGGACGGGUGAGUAAUGCCUAGGAAUCUGCCUGGUAGUGGGGGAUAACGUUCGGAAACGGACGCUAAUACCGCAUACGUCCUACGGGAGAAAGCAGGGGACCUUCGGGCCUUGCGCUAUCAGAUGAGCCUAGGUCGGAUUAGCUAGUUGGUGAGGUAAUGGCUCACCAAGGCGACGAUCCGUAACUGGUCUGAGAGGAUGAUCAGUCACACUGGAACUGAGACACGGUCCAGACUCCUGCGGGAGGCAGCAGUGGGGAAUAUUGGACAAUGGGCGAAAGCCUGAUCCAGCCAUGCCGCGUGUGUGAAGAAGGUCUUCGGAUUGUAAAGCACUUUAAGUUGGGAGGAAGGGCAGUAAAUUAAUACUUUGCUGUUUUGACGUUACCGACAGAAUAAGCACCGGCUAACUCUGUGCCAGCAGCCGCGGUAAUACAGAGGGUGCAAGCGUUAAUCGGAAUUACUGGGCGUAAAGCGCGCGUAGGUGGUUUGUUAAGUUGGAUGUGAAAUCCCCGGGCUCAACCUGGGAACUGCAUUCAAAACUGACUGACUAGAGUAUGGUAGAGGGUGGUGGAAUUUCCUGUGUAGCGGUGAAAUGCGUAGAUAUAGGAAGGAACACCAGUGGCGAAGGCGACCACCUGGACUAAUACUGACACUGAGGUGCGAAAGCGCGGGGAGCAAACAGGAUUAGAUACCCUGGUAGUCCACGCCGUAAACGAUGUCAACUAGCCGUUGGAAGCCUUGAGCUUUUAGUGGCGCAGCUAACGCAUUAAGUUGACCGCCUGGGGAGUACGGCCGCAAGGUUAAAACUCAAAUGAAUUGACGGGGGCCCGCACAAGCGGUGGAGCAUGUGGUUUAAUUCGAAGCAACGCGAAGAACCUUACCAGGCCUUGACAUCCAAUGAACUUUCUAGAGAUAGAUUGGUGCCUUCGGGAACAUUGAGACAGGUGCUGCAUGGCUGUCGUCAGCUCGUGUCGUGAGAUGUUGGGUUAAGUCCCGUAACGAGCGCAACCCUUGUCCUUAGUUACCAGCACGUAAUGGUGGGCACUCUAAGGAGACUGCCGGUGACAAACCGGAGGAAGGUGGGGAUGACGUCAAGUCAUCAUGGCCCUUACGGCCUGGGCUACACACGUGCUACAAUGGUCGGUACAGAGGGUUGCCAAGCCGCGAGGUGGAGCUAAUCCCAUAAAACCGAUCGUAGUCCGGAUCGCAGUCUGCAACUCGACUGCGUGAAGUCGGAAUCGCUAGUAAUCGCGAAUCAGAAUGUCGCGGUGAAUACGUUCCCGGGCCU